GGGGAAGGCAGGAGAUGAGUGCCUGAAUGUGGCUGCACUGUCUUGGCCGCCCUUCAUAACGUUUUCUUCCAACACGGCGCCACGCCAGUUCACGGGGAUCAUGCUGGAAGUUAUGGAUAUCGUUGCUGUUCAUCUUGGUUUCUGUUUCCAUAUAAACGUGCCGGAGGGAAUGGACUGGGGACGUCAGCUGGAAAAUAAGACAUUUACUGGUAUGCUUGGUGAGUUUGAGCGAAAGGAGUGGGACAUGACUAUUUCUCCUGUGGGCGUCUCCCAUACGAGGUACCAAGUAAUGGACUUCAGCAGCCCUAUGUUCAUGGACGAAACAACUGUUGUAUACACCAGGCCAAGGCCAAAGGCGGAUAUGAUGGGUUUCAUCAAACCCUACACUCCACUGAUGUGGACACUGCUCUUGGUGAGCGCAAUUGUGGCAACAGGGGUUAUCCUCCUUGUGCAGCUGAUUUUUUACAGCCUUCACC